rnacentral:rRNA from 1 species
UACGUAGGGGGCAAGCGUUGUCCGGAUUUAUUGGGCGUAAAGAGCUCGUAGGCGGUUUGGUAAGUCUGGUGUGAAAUCUCCACGCUCAACGUGGAGGGGCCACCCGAUACUGCCAUGACUGGAGUCCGGUAGAGGAGUGUGGAAUUCCCGGUGUAGCGGUGAAAUGCGCAGAUAUCAGGAGGAACACCGAUGGCGAAGGCAGGUCUCUGGGCCGAUACUGACGCUGAGGAGCGAAAGCGUGGGGAGCGAACAGG